rnacentral:lncRNA from 1 species
UUUAAGCGCUUCUAUCUAUUUUCACAAAAUUGUCUUGGUCUUUUACAGGUUUUAGUCCUCUUUCUCCAGCAAGGCCGUAAGUCCCAUGGGAGACAGGGAUCCUGCUAUAUCCUUUCUUUGCAUCUGGACUCACCAUCAUAAUACCUAGCACAGACUGGAGCUACUGAAGUCCUGCUGCCUGGAGUUGAACUAACAAGAGGGUUGAUCAUCUGUCAGUAUCAGAUACAAGUUUGCCCGUCAAAUAUCAAAGGAGCAGAAGGAAGAAGGCGUGGGAGUUAUUAAAGUCCUUUGGUUGAGAAAUGUCUCUCCGAAGAUCUCCCAGCCUCUUAUGACCACAGAGCAUGAGAAUAGAAAUGCUAAUGUGGCAUUAUGAGUGAGAGGUAAGGACUGUCCAGCCUUUUGUGGACAGGAGGCCUUUUGGGCUGAUUGAAAUGUGUGCAUACAGUAGAACGAAUGCCACCAACGGAUGUUCCCACAGUCGGCACUCAGAGAUAGCCCAGGCAUUGGAACUACUGGAUGAACCACUGGAACCAUCAUUAGGACUGAAGCACAAAAAUGCCUGUUUGAUUAAAUCAAAGUUCAAGAGCAUCUCUAAUGUAGCUGUUCUGCAAUCUAAUGCAUAUAAAGAGAUAAUAGCUUCUUAGAACA